rnacentral:hammerhead_ribozyme from 1 species
AUCCAUUUGACCAGUCUCAAAUAAAACGAAACGCGCGUCGAACUAGAU